UAUGAUCCAGAGUACCACGGGACACGUGAAACCCUGUGGGAAGCAGGAGGGACCACCCUCCAAGGCUAAAUACUACCUAGUGACCGAUAGCGUAUAGUACCGUGAGGGAAAGGUGAAAAGAACCCCGGGAGGGGAGUGAAAUAGAACCUGAAACCCUGCACUUACAAGCUGUGGAAGCACAUUUCUUGUGUGACCGCGUACUUUUUGUAGAACGGGCCAACGAGUUACGUUAAGUAGCAAGGUUAAGCACUUAAGGUGCGGAGCCGUAGCGAAAGCGAGUUUUAACGGAGCGUUCAGUUACUUGACGUAGACCCGAAACCGGGCGACCUACCCAUGAGCAGGAUGAAGCGAAAGUAAAAUUUCGUGGAGGUCCGAACCCACGAGCGUUGAAAAGCUCGGGGAUGACUUGUGGGUAGCGGUGAAAUUCCAAUCGAGCCCGGAGAUAGCUGGUUCU
rnacentral:rRNA from 1 species